UACGAAGGGGGCUAGCGUUGUUCGGAAUUACUGGGCGUAAAGGGCGCGUAGGCGGUGUGUCAAGUCGCGUGUGAAAGCCUCCGGCUCAACUGGGGAGGGUCACGCGAUACUGAUCGACUGGAAGGCAGGAGAGGGUAGUGGAAUUCCCGGUGUAGUGGUGAAAUGCGUAGAUAUCGGGAGGAACACCAGUGGCGAAGGCGACUACCUGGCCUGUUCUUGACGCUGAGGCGCGAAAGCUAGGGGAGCAAACGGG
rnacentral:rRNA from 1 species